ACUUGGAGAGGGGGUGACAUCAGGCCAGGUCUAGCCUUUGAGGGGACUGGCAGCUUCUAUUUCCUUUCCUCUUGGAGCUCUUGGAACCCAGCUACCUCUCCGAACCCAGAAACCACUCUGUGAAAAGCACAGGCCACGUGGGAAGGCCACCUGAAGGUGCUACAGUCAACAGACCCAGCUAAACUUCCAGCCCCCAGCAAGCGCCUGAGAGUGAGCCAUCUGAAUGACACAGCCCUCGGGAAAGCUCAGAGGAAUCCGAGUCAGCUCACCUCUCACAGAGCAGAAGCCUGACCCAGCAGAGCCCAGUCAACCCACAGAAUCACUGGAAAUUGUACAACCGUAUGCGAUUCAAACAAAUCUGCAUUUCUGUAAAUGACAAAGCCAAAAGAGAUAUGGAGCCCUCCUUAACUCUCCAACUUUAUUCAAGAUAAAAGUCUCUUUUUUCUGGGCCAUCUAUAAAGAGGGAGAAGGGAUCAUGCUGGAGAAUCUGGAAGGAAUUGGAGAAAGCCUUGGAUUCAAGUUCCAGAAAAUUAGGUGAGUGUCCAUCUAGUGGUGGCAGCAAGGAGGGAAGCAAGAUGGCCUAACCAAAGGGUUAUAUACAUCUUAUAUGCAGCUGCCUGGCUGCCUGAGGAGGGGGAGAAAAGAAGGUCUCCAUAACCUGCUUCUUCAGUACCUCCUUCUAAUUCAUUCAUUUUCUCAAUCCUUGCUACUCUAGCCUUAGUUCAGGUCCUUCCAAGAAUAUGGGCCUUUCAGUAACCGGAGCAGAAAUGUAUCAUCCAGGCUCAACCAAUACACAUACCAAAGUCCUCACCAUCCUUUCCAUAGCACUAUUACCAGGAGCCCCCCAAGCCCAUGGUAUUCAAGAGCCAUUUGCUUACAUGGUAACAUACCUUUGGCACUCAUCCACCAUUGUAGUCAAACUAUAGUGCAUAAACAUGCCCCAUUAAUCCCUCUUCCAUCUGAGUUAAUGAGCAGGAUUUUAUUCCUCUUAUGCAAAGGGAGAAAUUGUGUUAGGGGACUACUAUUAGAUAUACCCAGUCUUGUAGAAUGUGUUCUCUGGUUUUGAUGAUUAUCAAGUGUUGUAAUUUUUAAUGGGAAAUGCAGGCAUAAGUUCCAAAUUUUUAAAAAGAGAGUAUUUAUGGUAAAAUUAAGUCUUCUUCUCAUUCCUGGCCCAUGGCUACUCAUUUACCCUGCAAGAGCAACCAACUUCUUAUAUGUGUCUUUCCAGAGACAUUUGAUCCAUUUAUGUUUGCAUGAAUGCACGUGGGUGUGCCCACAGAUGUAGGACAAACAUGAAUACGAAUAUGAUUUCUCAAUGUGGUAUGAACUCUAUCUGGACUCUACUUUCAACUGAGGCCACUGAUUUCCAUAUGUGCCUGCCAUUCCUGGCCUCUAUGACACAAUGUAGCAUAAAGGCUGGGGAAACGCAUUUGACCGCUGGCCACCACUUCCCCACAGGCUGUAGUCUGUCUGUUGGUCAGCCUCACUUCCGCUAGUCAGGAGGUUACCCGUUUUGCUGCCUACUUCCAAUUUAGCCCAGAUGCAAAGAAAGCAGGGCAACCUCUGUGUAUUUUCUGAA